GACGUAGGGCACAAGCGUUGUCCGGAUUUAUUGGGCGUAAAGAGUGCGUAGGUGGUCCCCUAAGUUCGGUGUGAAAUCUCCCGGCUUAACUGGGAGGGUGCGCCGAAAACUGGAAGGCUUGAGUAUGGGAGAGGUAAGCGGAAUUCCUGGUGUAGCGGUGAAAUGCGUAGAUAUCGAGAGGAACACCUGCGGCGAAGGCGGGUUGCUGGGCUGACACUGACGCUGAGGCGCGAAAGCCAGGGGAGCGAACGGG
rnacentral:rRNA from 1 species